UACGUAGGUGGCAAGCGUUGUCCGGAAUUACUGGGCGUAAAGAGCGCGUAGGCGGGAAUUUAAGUCAGGAGUGAAAACUGCCGGCUCAACUGGCAGCCUGCUCUUGAAACUGGAUUUCUUGAGGGUAUGAGAGGAAAGCGGAAUUCCUAGUGUAGCGGUGAAAUGCGUAGAUAUUAGGAGGAACACCAGUGGCGAAGGCGGCUUUCUGGCAUACAACUGACGCUGAGGCGCGAAAGCGUGGGGAGCAAACGGG
rnacentral:rRNA from 1 species